rnacentral:misc_RNA from 1 species
GAUGAAGAACGUAGCGAAAUGCGAUAAGUAAUGUGAAUUGCAGAAUUCAGUGAAUCAUCGAAUCUUUGAACGCACCUUGCACCCUUUGGCAUUCCGAAGGGUAUGCUCGUUUGAGUGUCAUUGUACUCUCACACUCUCCGAUCCUAUGGAUUCGGGGAGCGGUGGACUUGGGUGUUGCUGCCUUUCCUUGUGGCUCACCUCAAAUGUGUCAGUGCACCUCUUGGUUGGACAUAGUACGGCGUGAUAAGUGUCUUCGCCGGCACCUCGCAAGAGGGUGGCCGAUCGGGAGCUCUGUGCUUUCAAACCGUCUUCGGACAAUUUCUGACAACUUGGCCUCAAAUCGAGUAGGACUACCCGCUGAACUUAAGCAUAUCAAUAAGCGGAGGA